AACGAACGCUGGCGGCAUGCCUAACACAUGCAAGUCGAACGAGACCUUCGGGUCUAGUGGCGCACGGGUGCGUAACGCGUGGGAAUCUGCCCUUGGGUUCGGAAUAACAGUUAGAAAUGACUGCUAAUACCGGAUAAUGUCUUCGGACCAAAGAUUUAUCGCCCAGGGAUGAGCCCGCGUAGGAUUAGCUAGUUGGUGAGGUAAAGGCUCACCAAGGCGACGAUCCUUAGCUGGUCUGAGAGGAUGAUCAGCCACACUGGGACUGAGACACGGCCCAGACUCCUACGGGAGGCAGCAGUGGGGAAUAUUGGGACAAUGGGCGAAAGCCUGAUCCAGCAAUGCCGCGUGAGUGAUGAAGGCCUUAGGGUUGUAAAGCUCUUUACCCGGGAUGAUAAUGACAGUACCGGGAGAAUAAGCCCGGCGUAACUCCGUGCCAGCAGCCGCGGUAAU
rnacentral:rRNA from 1 species